GAAUUCUUCAUUUACUGAGGAUUCAAUGAGAAAGCAAAGAGGAGGUACCCAAGAUGAUGGAGACAUUCACCAAGUCUGCGCAAAGCAAAGAAAGGUGGCCAAUAAUCCCUCUGAGAGGGAAUCCACACUGCUCUCCAAGCUGACAACCUUGCUAAAUGACAAGCCAGAAAAAAAGAAAAGUCCUCUAUGAGUUUUCGUCAACAUAGACUCCUCUGUCCUCCCAGAAUCAUGCUCCAUGUGUCUUCUCCAGCCCUGCUCCUGCUUUUCCUCACACAUCUCUCCAGCCACUCUUUUCUUUUGUAGCCACUUUGUCCAUCAACUGCUCCCAUGCUGGUGUUUGCCCAAGUUCCAUUUUUGAC